rnacentral:rRNA from 1 species
CCUACGGGAGGCAGCAGUGAGGAAUAUUGGUCAAUGGACGAGAGUCUGAACCAGCCAAGUAGCGUGAAGGAUGACUGCCCUAUGGGUUGUAAACUUCUUUUAUAUAGGAAUAAAACGAGCCACGUGUGGCUUUUUGUAUGUACUUUAUGAAUAAGGAUCGGCUAACUCCGUGCCAGCAGCCGCGGUAAUACGGAGGAUCCGAGCGUUAUCCGGAUUUAUUGGGUUUAAAGGGAGCGUAGAUGGGUUGUUAAGUCAGUUGUGAAAGUUUGCGGCUCAACCGUAAAAUUGCAGUUGAUACUGGCAGUCUUGAGUACAGUAGAGGUAGGCGGAAUUCGUGGUGUAGCGGUGAAAUGCUUAGAUAUCACGAAGAACUCCGAUUGCGAAGGCAGUUUACUAGACUGUGACUGACACUGAUGCUCGAAAGUGUGGGUAUCAAACAGGAUUAGAUACCCGGGUAGUC